AAUUUUUUUCAGGCGUGUGGCCCGCCGUUUUAGGUGGGAUACGAGGAGAAGGUCCUCCGAAGCUUUAUGCGAAGGAGGGAAUCGGACAUCCCGACGUUUUGUCGGGGUAGUAUCUGCGGAAACCUUCAGGUUGUGGUUGACAACCUUAAUGUUUUGCACAAAUUUUUGGAGUAAUCCAAAAACCAAAAGCAUUACAAAUCAAUGUU
rnacentral:ncRNA from 2 species